rnacentral:rRNA from 1 species
AGUGAACGCUGGCGGUAGGCCUAACACAUGCAAGUCGAACGGCAGCACAGUAAGAGCUUGCUCUUACGGGUGGCGAGUGGCGGACGGGUGAGGAAUACAUCGGAAUCUACUUUUUCGUGGGGGAUAACGUAGGGAAACUUACGCUAAUACCGCAUACGACCUACGGGUGAAAGCAGGGGAUCUUCGGACCUUGCGCGAUUGAAUUAGCCGAUGUCGGAUUAGCUAGUUGGCGGGGUAAAGGCCCACCAAGGCGACGAUCCGUAGCUGGUCUGAGAGGAUGAUCAGCCACCCUGGAACUGAGACACGGUCCAGACUCCUACGGGAGGCAGCAGUGGGGAAUAUUGGACAAUGGGCGCAAGCCUGAUCCAGCCAUACCGAGUGGGUGAAGAAGGCCUUCGGGUUGUAAAGCCCUUUUGUUGGGAAAGAAAAGCAGCAGGUUAAUACCCCGCUGUUCUGACGGUACCCAAAGAAUAAGCACCGGCUAACUUCGUG